rnacentral:sRNA from 1 species
CACCUUCUCCCUCAGUAAGCCUCCCUCUAUUCCCCAGGACCUAUGAUGCCUACUCCACUUUCUACCUGAAUUCCAGUGGCCUCAUUUGUCGCCAUCGUCUAGAUAAACUGAUGCCUUCACACUCACCUCCAACGCCUGUAAAGAAGCUGCUAGUGGGAGCCCUGGUGGCCCUGGGGCUAUCAGAGCCAGAACCUGACUUAAACCUGUGUUCCAAGCCCUGAUCCUUGACCUUGGAGUGGAGGCAGCACUGAAG